UUUCAAAUAUACAAAUCUUUUGUGUAUUUGAGAAAAAUCAGCAUUGCCUCACUGGCAGCAUAUAACGGUGUCCUAAUCAUCUCCAGGUGAAAGAGAUGCCCGUUAGCUCCAUUUGAGGCACCUGACUGACUUACCUAAGAGAUCUUCGUUUCUUGGCGACGACUGCAACAGCGACCCCUCCCAACAAGCUAAGGUGGCGACCAACCUACCUGCGUCUCUCUCAAGGCCGUGGCGGCCGUCCCCUUCUUCAGGUCGUUUUCCACCACCACGGCCCGAACCGAACCACCCUCCUUCUCGUCUGCCACCGGAGCUCGAUCGACGAUUGCUGAUUCUCCGAUCACUUCAACUCGCCUCUGCUCUGCUGCCAGGCUGGCCGCCGCCAGCACCUCUCCAUUCCAUAAAACAGAAACAUGAAUGUGAGCAGAGCAAUGAAGAAGUGACUGACAGUGUGUUUAGGGUGGAAGUAUAAUAUGGUCAAUUAAAGGUUUGCAAGUACCCCUCCACAGUGCAGCAUUUAAGAAAACCCAAUUGACCUCCAUCUCCAUGGCUCCCAGCCUCCCCACUGGCCAUUUCCAUCUCCCCUAUAAAUACUUGCUGCCAUGCCAUCUCUUCUUCCACGCCACAGAGGAAGCAUCCUCAUAGUCAGAGGCUCAGAGCAGAGCAGAGCAGAGCAGAGCACUCCUCGCAGCAGCUGCAGACCAUCAAGUACGAGACAGUAAGCUCUCUUUUAGUGGAAUAUAAUACUAUCAUUACUAGCAGUAGUAUCAAUCUAUAUAUGGUGGAUCAUCAGUGAUUAACCAUGCUCAAGCUUCAUGGAUACGCAGGGCAGACGCAACGUGAUGAGCCGGGGCAGCAAAGGAGGGAGAGGCGCGGGUGGCCUGGAC
rnacentral:lncRNA from 1 species